GGACCCGUGGAGCAGCGGAACGCUCACGUCCCUCUCAAGGACGAGACGCCGGUUCGAUCCCGGUCGGGUCUACGA
rnacentral:tRNA from 2 species